CAUGACAAUCUCAAAGGAUCGUGUGAAACCAUCUCCAUUGCCCGACAGCUGGAAGCUAAAAGAGAUCUUCGCCACUGGAAUCGUACUAGGAGGUUACCUAGCUUUAAUGACCGUCAUCUUCUUCUGGAUCAUGAGAGACACCGACUUCUUCACAGUAAGUGAAAAAUAAUUUAAAUUUAAAAAAAUAUAUAUAUAUUCCGUUACUAAUUUUGAUAAACACGAAACCCUCGCAGAACACAUUUGGUGUGAGAUCGAUCAGAAACAGUGAGGUGGAGAUGAUGGCUGCUUUGUAUCUCCAAGUGAGUAUUGUGAGCCAGGCUCUAAUUUUCGUCACCCGUUCACGAAGCUGGUCGUUUAUCGAGCGCCCUGGUCU
rnacentral:lncRNA from 1 species